AUUAUAAGGCAGUUCAUAGAUGCUGCUGCUGCUGCUGCUAGCAUUUCAUCUGCUGAGAAUCACACUCAGUAGCAACAGCCGUCCAAGAUACAGCCCUGCGGGGCUUUGAGUGUUAACGUUGGGUGCAUAGUGAUGAGGCUUUUUUAAAGCCUUGAAACGGGGCCAACUGGUAAUACCUAAGGAACAUUUCCUGGCAAACAGAAAAAGCUCUCUUGGUCUUUAAAGUUCAUGACAGAUUCCCUAAGUGUUUGUAAAACAUCUGCCAACCACACUGAUGGGCUCUCACACAAAGCUCUUCUACCAGAGGCAAGCAUUUUCACCAGCCAUUUUGAAUUUGAUGUGCUCAGCACUUUGAGGUAGCUGGCUCCUGGGCGUAAGUCAGAUUCUGACUCACUGGCUGGAUCACCAUCCUCAGGACCCCUUGCAGGGUAGACCUUGCUCAGUUGUUCCUCGAUUUUCUUCUGUGUAUUUGAAAGAAAUACAUGCUCUUGUGAUGUGCAAUGCUUCAUAGAUGUCACCUUUUAAGUUUAUUACAAAUCACAUUUGUAUAGUUCGUUAUUGAAUUUUAGACCCAUAUAACUUCUAAGCAUGAAGUAUUAUUACACACACACUAAGUACUUCUUAUGAGUCAAGUGCUAGAACUAUGGCUAUCACAAUGAUUAAAGCAU
rnacentral:lncRNA from 10 species